CCAAUUAUAUGUUUUGUUAAAUUGUGUAUGAAUAUUACUUGGUGGCCACCUCAAAGUUCACAUUCAAUCUGAAGGCAGUUUAUUCUGUCCUUUUGCUGUUAUAGAUCAUUGGUCAACCAACAGCUGAUAAUUUUCUACUUACAACCUGGCUUCUAACUUGAUGGCCGCACCAUUCACUGGAUACAAGCAGAAUACUCAACCUCAAAAGCAUUGAAAAUAUUUUACUGUUGUCUCACUGUACCCAAUCACAUUGUUUUGACCACAUUUGUAAUUCUUACAUGUUUUUUAAAAAAAUCUUUCUGAUAUUUCUGUGUACUUAAAAAUAGAUGUAGUGAUCAGAGAUGUAAUUUUAGCCUCAAUGUCUAAAACAAUGAGGUGGAUUAAGACAACGUCAAGGUGAGUGAACUUGUCCAUUCUGGAUCAGGAGCCUGUUGAAGGGUAGUAACUGUCCCUGAACCUGGUGGUGGGGGGCCCAAGGCUCCUGUCCCUUCUUUACGAUGGCAGCAGCAAGCCAAGAGCCUUGUCUGGAUGGUGGAUGCUGCUUUUUGUGGCAGCCCUCGUUACAGACGUGCUCAAUGGUGGGGUGGGCAUUUCCUGUGAUGAACAGGGCCGUGUCCACCACUCUUUGUGGGCUUGUAAUCCAUGAACCUCUUUUUGCAAUCUAUGGAACUGUAGAAGAGUGAAGGGUGUAUAGAAAUAGCUCGAGUAUGAGUGAUCUUUACAAAAGUGCGUUUCAAAAUACCAGAUGAAUCACUAGCAUUCAGGGGUUUGAAAGCUACAUUAUCUCCCCUUAAGGUGAUGCAGUAUUCAAGGUUAUUCUAUUAAAAGCAUGUGCAUUUUUAUGAUAACAUGCUUUUAGAUAUUUAAACAUUUUAAUUAGAGGCACAUACAUUAGGGACAGCUGAGACUCUUAGAUAGGCACAUGGAUGAUAGAAAAUGAAGGGAUGUACGGGGGGAAGGGUUAGAUUGAGCGUACAAUGGCUUAAAAGGCCAGCACAACAUUAUGGGCUGAAGGGCCUUGACUGGGCUGUAAUGUGUUUGUGUUUAGCCUAUUGCAUUACACAUACAUGUUAAUAUAUGGGGCAUAUUAUAUUAGCGGUAUCCACAUUCUCGUCUUCCAUAGGAAGUCCAUGCCAGAUUUCCUCAAGAACAACGAAGACUAAUUUUAUUUUGAGUACCAGUCUACAUGACAUAGGUCCAGUAAGCAGUGCUAAGCUUCUUGCACUCACCAGGUUUACAAAAACAAAGGCAGCAAUGAGAAGGGUCAUUUAAUGAGAUAGUGUAUGAAACUAUAUCAAAAGUAAAUGAAAGCAAGUGAAAAAUAGAGAUGGGAGGAAAAUAAUAACUGUCCUUGAAUUUUCAAGAUUAAACUUGUCAGUAUUUGCUGUUAGUAUAUCCAAGCUAACAACUAUCUCUAAAUCUAAAGGCAACAUUGCAAUUCACUGUUGGAGACAAUCUGAUUCUGUCAGUGAGGUUUCGGGGAUCACGAUUAAAUAAACUGGAUUUUCUCCAUCACCAGGAAUCAUUACCCAUAGCUCCUACCAGCUUGCACUUACCUGGACCGGAAGCAGAAGGACAGAUGAGCUGACUCUCCAGCCACAGAUGGUGAGAACUGGGAGAUCCACCCCAAGAUUACCCUCACACCCUUUGAAUGAAUGUAGGACUGGGGAUGGAGUUUUGCCCCCUAUCAAAAGCUAAGAGAUGUUUUCCAAUCUCUCGAACCUAUCCAGUACUUUUGGCUUUUAUUAUAGCUUUUCGACAUCUGCAGUUUACAUUGAUUAUCAAAAAUAGAUAUAUUCAAGUUCAUCCUACUUCUCAGUUCUUGUAUCGAGGGUCCUUAAGGUACAAAAAUAGCAACUUGCGUAGAGAUGAUUUCUAUUUAUCAACCAAUUCAACUUACCUCAAAAUCUGCCACCAGGUUAGUAAGCAGUCAUUAGCAGAGAUUUUAUUUAUCCUUCUGGGCCCCCAGGUUGUUGUACACAGUCAUGAUUUCUUUUGUUCAAAGCAAUUCCAACAGCCUUGUAAAUGUCAUCUGUCACUAUUACAUCCUGUAGGCCACUAAUCUCUAGUACAACUUCCCUGCUUGCAUUGUACGGCUUUGCCAACAAACUCUCACAUUUGGUGCUACAUCUAUCUUUAGUGGUCUUGCUGCCUUCAGUGAUUUGUGGAUAUGCUCUCCGAUCACUUGCUUCUCCCUCUAUCCAAUCAUUUCUUUCCCCCAUUGUCCCCAAUUUUCAGCUCCAAUUGAAUUCUAUUUGCUUAUUUUGUACCCAAAUAAUUUGAACACAUUUCUUAGCUUCCAGCUUACUGUGUUUCAAUUUCAUUGCCAUUUCUGAUGCUCUCUGCAAAUUUAAUCAUUGUCCCUAAUAUCGAUUCAAAAUGUACAUCAAAAGCAAAGGACCCAACAUCAAGCUUUAGAAUCCCACUACAAGGUUUUCAAAUGCUAACUCUCUUUGAUCAUUAUUCCUUGCUUUCUCCCACUGACCCAAAUUCGCCACUUUUCCACUGAUCCUCUGUCCAACUCCCACUGCCUGACCUUUGGGACCUUGAUCCUCGAUAUUUUCAAUAAUUUACUCACUAUAGAUGUUAGGCUAAAUGGCCCAAAAAUCAACAUCUUUUCCCUUUAAAACAAAAGCAUACUUGAAGAAUGGUUAACACUUGUAAUAUUUCCACCCUACCCUUAACUUCAUUUGAUCUAUUUCUGACACCUCUUUCCCCUUCCUUAAUCUCUGGAGAUAAACUGCCUACUAUUAUCUUUUAUAAGCCUACUGAUCCUCACGGUCAUCUUGACAAUUCCUCUUUCCACAGUUUCCUGUAAAAAUGCUAAUCCCGUUGCUCAGUUUCUUUGUCUCCACUACAUCUAUUCCCAGGACGAGCCUAUCCCAUGUCCUCCUUCAAAGAAUGGAGUUCCCUUCUACCAACAUUGAUGCUGCAUCUCACCCACAUAUCCUCCAUUUCCCAGACAUUCUCAACCUUCCCGUCACCUUAACAGGAUAGAAUUCAUCUUGUCCUCUGCAUCCAACACCUCAUUUUCCACAACUUUUACCAUUUUUAGUGAGACCCUAUCAAACCUUUUUACCUUCUCCUCCCCCACCCCCCCAACGCUCUGUAUGGAUUGCUUCCUCUGAUUCCCUUGUCCAGUUGUCUAUCCCCACUAAUCUCCCUCCUGGUACGUAUCCUUGCCAGUAACAGAAAUGUUACCCCUGCCCACUUACUUCCAUUCAGGUUCCAGUCCUUCCAGAUGAGGCAGCACUCAGCUAUGAAUCUUUUGGGAUUGUCUACUGUAUACGUUGCCCCCAAUGUGGCCUCCUCUGCACUGGUGAAAGCCGACAUAAAUUGGGAGAAAUCACUUUGCCGAGUACUUCACAACCCACAAAAGCAGAAUUUCAGUGUCCAACCACUCCAAUUCCUCUUACAACAUGUGGGUCCAUUACUUCAUCUUCUGACAUGAUGAGGCCACUCUCAGGUUGGAGGAGAAACACUUCAAAUUUCAUCUAGGGAGCUGCCAACCUGAUGGCAUGAGCAUCAAUUUCUCUAACUAGUAUUUUUUGUUUCCCCUCCCCAACUUCUUGCCUAUCAUCUCACCCUUUGCACCCCCCCCCUUCCAUUGCUUCCACAGUCCACUCUAUCAGGUUCAUUCUUCUCCAUCCCUUCGCCUUCUCCACCAAUCACCCCCCAGGCUCCUUACUUCAUCCACCCUCCCCCACCCCUCACCUUGCACAUUCCUCCUGCCCCCUACCUUUCCAUUUCCAGUGAAGGUUAUUGGCCCAAAAUGUCAACUGUCUAUUCAUUUCCAUAGAUGUUGCCUGACACACUGAGUUCUUCCACCAUUUUGUGUGCAUUUCUCCAGAUUCUUGUGUUUUGUAUUAUUUCCUUCCUUGAUCCAAGAAUCCAGCAUAUGUUUUCUAGGCCCAAAUUCUAUCCACUUUAAGUUGCUGGAGCUUUUAAAAUGUUAAAAAAAUCAGAAGUGAGAAACAUUUGUAAAGAUUCUGUAAUAUUAUUGAAAUAACUUGAAACCAGAUCCAGAGAAACCCAGGUGUUGGGUAAUGACUUUUACACAAGACGGUAAAAAAGCAACUAGCCGUACAAGAACGGACCUAGUAUGAGUUGGUAUUUGGCCGUCUUUUCAGGGAAUGGUGGACCUCAUUUUUACUCCACUGGAGUUAAUUGAGAAAAGGAUGGAGAAAUUGGAAUAUCAUCAGUGUCAUUUGGCAUUGCACCAAAUGCAGCUGUCAAUUCACUUCACUCUCCACCUCCUAAUCAAAUCCGGGAAACUUGCUGCUCUCUACUUUUAUACCCAUUCACACCUUUUUAUUCUGUUAACUAGUCCUACUGGGAACAUCAGAUGUCUUUCUAAAUCUACUUUGAAAGCAGGAACAAUUGUUAUGGCCAAGAUGGCAUAAUUCAGUCCUUAACUUUCUCAAAAGUACUAUUAUUGUUCAGCCCAAGUGGUUAUUUUGUCCUUUUCUUUAAAAAAAAUAAAAAGUCACCUGUGGAGGGGGUGGAGUAAUUAGACUAUUAAAAAUGCUGGUAAUUCUUCCUUUAAUGGUUCUACCACUUCGUGUCGCAUCCGAUUGAAUGAGCAUCAUUACAAUCCUGGUUCUACACACGUUGGUACAUAGAACAGUACAGCACAGGAACAGGACCUUUGGCCAAAGCAACUAAAAUCCAAAACACUAAUCCCUCCUACCUACACAUAUCCCUCCAUGUUCCUUACAUUCAUGUGCCUAUCUGAACAUCCCACUUCCCAUUUUAAAAAUGCUAUCAAAAACUCAUUUUUCUAUAACAUUUAGUCGGAUAAUAUCACCAUUUUUUUCCCACAUCCCCAGGGUGCGUGAUCUAGACACCAGCAUUUGGAAUCUCUUAUCUGGCCUCUGCUUGGAUUCUAAUUCAUCAAUGUGCACCUUUUUUUCCUGAAGAUGAUCCAUUCAUCUCGUGUCAAUUCAAGACAUUUUACAAUUACAGAAUGUUGAGGGAUACAAGAACAUAUCAAAUACAUAGAGUCUUGGUUUAUAUACACAGUGCAUAAUAUUAGUUUGCACAUGUUUUACUGGUACACACUAAGUAAUACUGAACUUGCUUAUCCAUGAUCAUUCAACCAAAUGCUGGAACAACCAACCAUGUUUUGGCUCUCUAGCUAGGCAGUUACACAAUACCAAAACAGAAGUGAAGCCCAGAAAGUGACAUCCCAGUCUGAAUGAUCAACCAGCACUCAGUACUGAUGGAUCAUUUCUGCCAUAAAGAUUAUACUUCGGGAUCAGAAAACUAAACACACAAAAUCAAGUUAAUAUCCAACUUGCUUUUCCCUUCCCCUCACAAUGCCUAGUUAAAUUUAUUUUACAUGGCUAAAUAUUUUCCUCAAAAGUUGCCAGUAUUUUCUAUCCAAUAGCAAAUUUUCAAAGCCAAGAUAUUUUAUCUAAGUUGUUCUUAGAUUUUGGUGAGACUGCUCUUCACGAAGACCACAAUUUCUGAGGAGACAACUGCACAGACUUAGGCAAUUAGUCGUUAACCUGGCCCAAAAAAGCAUCUUUUUGUGAAUGAUCUUAACGUGUAUAUUGGUAUUUAGGCAUAACAGUCCAAAUUUACUUUUUGUUCUUCUAUGGAGAGAGGAGAUUCAGGAUGGGGAACGAGUCACUAGAAUUUGCUGGCAGCUACAUUCACUCUCCACUUAAAGUUUGAGAUCCUCUCUCUGAUGGCGAUAUCUUAAAAGUUGUUGGCAAUCCUGCAGAAUUUUCCAAUUCUGUUGUGACAAUUAACACCUCAGAGUUCAGCGUCCAUUUGUCCAUUCAACUGGCACAGCAAGAAACUAAUCUCACCAAAGCAGCAACUAUGAAUUAUGUUCCAGUUUUGAUUUGCAUCACCAGUAACAUUUCUAGCUUUUAAAGCUUUUGAUUACCAGCUGACAGCUGUUUCUGCAGCUUCUACACUGGCGGAGCAUAUUCCUCCCCUUACACCCAUUGGCAUCAUUGCACCACACAAUUGCUGGUUGCUAGGGUCUUGAUUUUAGGCUCAGGAUGCACUAUCUAGUAAACUGGUAAUCUGCAAUCCCAAAGGUUAAGGGGUUAGUUACAGUGGCUCGGGAAAGUAGAAUGGCAAAACCUUUGGCCCAGUUUUGCUUUUGUGCUCAAGUGUGCACCUCGUCCAUCCCACUGAUCUGCUCCCAGGAAAUUCCGCAUGAAUCAAGCAGAACAAAUUUAUCCCAGAUCAUUAGUGCAGUCAGACUGUUAAAACACGAGGAAAAUCAAAUUAGGGCACAACAAAAAUAUUCAUUCCUAAUAUAAAAUCUUCAUAAUCAUUGUGUGGGAAGUAUGGCCUUACUUAAAUCAUUCACUAUUUUGCAUAUUUUAGGGAAAUAAGCAUCACCUACCCGUCCCAAAGUUUUUUUUUGGUGUUUGGAGCAGGUUUGGGGUGGGAGAAGGGAAUAAGAAUCUGAGGUUCAUUUCAAUGCAGUAAUUAGUUCAAAAGGGAAUACUGCCCGGUUGAAAUUUCCAAAAUAUAAUACAAAUUGACCGGCCAUCAACAGCCAACUGAAAUCAGUACAAAUUCUAAAAUAUUACCAAAGCAAAUAAGGGAGAUUCAUCUCUUUCAGAACAUUAAGGAUCAAGAACAGGCAACAUUUAUCUAAAUUAAAAGGAUUACACAGGAUAAAAUGUUGUACUUAACUUUAUUGUUUUCUUAAAAAAAUUGUUGCUUCCCAAGAAUUUUUUAUUGAAUGGUAUAGCUGUCUAGAAAUACAGGUAUACAAGGUAUGAGAGUGACAGUGCCUAGUGAUCAACAGCUUGUACAGAAAAAUACUUAAGAUGUUAAAAAGUUUUAAACAAGAUAUUAAGAAAUUCCUGCAUGGUACAGAAGGCUCAAGGUACAUAUUCAAAAUACCAUGUUAACCCCCAAUAUAAAUUCUGAUCAUAAGGAUUUUACAAGGCAUGAAGCACAGCUGCAUAAAAUACAAAACCAUUUUAAUGGUUACAUACUCAGCAUAGUGUAUUAUAUCAUUUUUUACUGUGAUGCCCGAUCUUGUAACCAAAUUAUAAGCCGUGUCUAAGGCACUUCUGAAAUCUUUUCACAUAAAUUCUAAUGGAACUCCUGUUUGAAUAAAAAUUGAUAUGGACUGAUUUGUACGACUUUGAAACAUGCAGCAUCUGGUAGCUUGAAGGUUUAUGCAAAUAUUCUAUGAACUUUGGAAAAUCGGGUGUCCAUCACCCUUUAUGCAAAAAAAAACAUCAGUCGCAUACUGUUUGGAAGAAAUUACACAGGAACAGAUUGUGGGAAAGCAGCUAAUCAGAACAGUAUUCAAAAAUCUUAAUUGAUCAAAUAGAAAGGCCAAUCUGUCCUGGGUCCAUUGUACAAAAAUUUUCAUCCAUGUUUAGGGUAAAAUUACUACAUAGGAAUGGAAGAGGGUAUCAGAAAAGUGUCUGAAGUACUCACGCUCAUGUGUGAGAUGUAAACAGCUUAAAAGGGAAAACACAAGAACACAGUUCAAACACUAAACACGGUUAAAGAACAUUUUAAUCACAAUAUAGCUAUUAAACUCCAAUUAUUGUACUUCAAAAUGAUUUGUGCAAAUUACGAUCCCCACUAACAAUCUGAAAAGGGUUCCAGCGAGUUGGAGUGAUAGGAGUGAAUGUAUAUUAAAAUCACAAGUGAAUUAAAUCACAAGUUUCUGACCGAUGGUAAUUCCAGGAUGUUUCAGUGUAGCUAAAUUUUAGUUAUUGAUUAGUCCCUGGUUACUCAAAGUAUAUGUUGGCACUAACAAUGCAGGCCUGUCCUUGCAUUGGAAAUGAUGCUCACCAGAUACUGCCAUCCUAGUAGAUAAUUACAAUUAUAAAACUUGUUUACUUAGAUCCAGCAAUGCUCACAGUUUGGUCUUUAAACAGCAAUUGGCUGCAGAUUAACAACUCAAUAAAUUCUAAGCCAUUGUCCACAGAAUUAUAUGGAAAUACAUGUUUAUUUGUACAUGUAGCAUGCAUAACAAUAUAUAAGGCUCCUUCUGAUUACACCCCAACUCCCAGAUCUCAGUUGGGUUUAGGUGUAAAUGUGCUCAAAUUGGUAGUUGAUAAAGAAAAUUUGGGAUAUAAUAUGUAGGGUGCAGCAAGUCAAGAUAAGAAGUAAAUUAAGAUGCAAGAGGACAAUGACUUACUUGAAAACUUGCUUGUUUUUUUAAAAGAAUAGGAAGGAAAGAA